rnacentral:tRNA from 1 species
GUGGGGGUAGCCAAGCCCGGCCAAAGGCGCGGGACUUAGGAUCCCGUCUUUAGCGGUUCGAGGGUUCAAAUCCCUUCCCCCACA